rnacentral:rRNA from 1 species
GAUGAACGCUGGCGGCGUGCCUAAUACAUGCAAGUCGAGCGAACAGAUGAGGAGCUUGCUCCUCUGACGUUAGCGGCGGACGGGUGAGUAACACGUGGAUAACCUACCUAUAAGACUGGGAUAACUUCGGGAAACCGGAGCUAAUACCGUAUAAUAUAUUGAACCGCAUGGUUCAAUAGUGAAAGACGGUUUUGCUGUACCUUAUAGAUGGAUCCGCGCCGCAUUAGCUAGUUGGUAAGGUAACGGCUUACCAAGGCAACGAUGCGUAGCCGACCUGAGAGGGUGAUCGGCCACACUGGAACUGAGACACGGUCCAGACUCCUACGGGAGGCAGCAGUAGGGAAUCUUCCGCAAUGGGCGAAAGCCUGACGGAGCAACGCCGCGUGAGUGAUGAAGGUCUUCGGAUCGUAAAACUCUGUUAUUAGGGAAGAACAAAUGUGUAAGUAACUAUGCACGUCUUGACGGUACCUAAUCAGAAAGCCACGGCUAACUACGUG